UUAAAUUGAAGAGUUUGAUCAUGGCUCAGAUUGAACGCUGGCGGCAGGCCUAACACAUGCAAGUCGAACGGUAACAGGAAGAAGCUUGCUUCUUUGCUGACGAGUGGCGGACGGGUGAGUAAUGUCUGGGAAA
rnacentral:rRNA from 1 species